rnacentral:rRNA from 1 species
GACGAACGCUGGCGGCGUGCUUAACACAUGCAAGUCGAACGGUAGGCCCUUCGGGGUACACGAGUGGCGAACGGGUGAGUAACACGUGGGUGAUCUGCCCUGCACUUCGGGAUAAGCCUGGGAAACUGGGUCUAAUACCGGAUAGGACUCCUGCCUGCAUGGGUGGGGGUGGAAAGCUUUUGCGGUGUGGGAUGGGCCCGCGGCCUAUCAGCUUGUUGGUGGGGUGAUGGCCUACCAAGGCGACGACGGGUAGCCGGCCUGAGAGGGUGACCGGCCACACUGGGACUGAGAUACGGCCCAGACUCCUACGGGAGGCAGCAGUGGGGAAUAUUGAACAAUGGGCGCAAGCCUGAUGCAGCGACGCCGCGUGAGGGAUGACGGCCUUCGGGUUGUAAACCUCUUUCAGCACAGACGAAGCGCAAGUGACGGUAUGUGCAGAAGAAGGACCGGCCAACUACGUGCCAGCCGCCGCUGUAA